rnacentral:rRNA from 1 species
UACGUAGGUGGCAAGCGUUGUCCGGAAUUACUGGGUGUAAAGGGAGCGCAGGCGGGACUGCAAGUUGGAUGUGAAAUACCGCAGCUUAACUGCGGAGCUGCAUCCAAAACUGUAGUUCUUGAGUGGAGUAGAGGUAGGCGGAAUUCCGAGUGUAGCGGUGAAAUGCGUAGAUAUUCGGAGGAACACCGGUGGCGAAGGCGGCCUACUGGGCUUUUACUGACGCUGAGGCUCGAAAGCGUGGGUAGCAAACAGG